UCGCCAAGCAAUACUUGUUUUUCUCGGAAUGAGAUUGUUACUUGGGUAACUUCUAGCUUCAAAAUCCUAAGUACUCAAUAGUUAUGUAAUUGAGCUCAUGCUGCCAGUAUCUGUUUAGCAAGAUUCAGCAUUGGACAUUCAGUUGUCUACACUGACUUCAGUUCCCUUUUAAACUCACUAGAAGGUUCCCAUUUCAGAUGCACGUGCAGCAGACUCUGAAUUUGACUCCAAUAAAGCCAGCAUCCUCCUCUAUCAAUUCUCUGUUUUGAAUCGAUUAGCAUCCUCCUCUGUCAAUUCUCUGUUUUGAAUUUCCAUAAUCGAUUCAAACGCAUCGACGUUACAUUAUAUAUCUCAAAGGGGAAUGCGCUAAAGCAAGUGGGAUGAAAAAGCAUACUCUUACAGCAGAAAUAACUCAAAGACUCAUACUCACAUGCACUACAAGUUAAAAUAUGGAAAUUUGGGAGUACCAGAAAGCUGACAGAAAAACAAAAAAUCCACCAAACCAGGAAUAACGAAUCUAUCAAGUCGAUGCAUCUUCUAUGACCUUAACGUCUGGCCAGGAAAGAGAGAAUCUCCCAGACCACGAAUUUCUUCCAAAGAGCCACCAAUUCCACCAGUUCCCCACAAAAGUAACACUCGAGGAUAUAAUCGUGAAAGAGGGAAAAACCCUAACCUGAGCUCGUCGGACGCAGACGACGAACCGGAGCCGCCGGUGGAGCUUCCGGAGGCGACGGCGGAGGCGGAGGCGCAGUUCGUCCGAGGAAUAGAGAGAAGGCUGGGA
rnacentral:lncRNA from 1 species